GAUGAACGCUGGCGGCGCAUUUAAGACAUGCAAGUCGAACGGAAAAAUAUAUAAUGUUUACAUUAUAUAUUUUUUAGUGGCGGACGGGUGAGUAACACGUAGGUAACCUACCUAGAAGUAAGGAAUAGCUAGAAGAAAUUUUAGAUAAUACCAUAUAAGACCACACUAUCACAUGAUAGAGGGGUCAAAGGAGUAAUCCGCUUUUAGAUGGACCUGCGGCUGAUUAGUUAGUUGGAGUGGUAAUGGCACACCAAGACGAUGAUCAGUAGCCGAGCUGAGAGGCUGGCCGGCCACAUUGGGACUGAGACACGGCCCAGACUCCUACGGGAGGCAGCAGUUGGGAAUAUUGGACAAUGGAGGAAACUCUGAUCCAGUGACGCCGCGUGAAGGAAGAAGGUCUUCGGAUUGUAAACUUAUUUUGUCAGGGAAGAAAAAAAUGACGGUACCUGAAGAAGAAGCACCGGCAAACUACGUG
rnacentral:rRNA from 1 species